AUCGACUACAAUGAUAUCUCCUUCUGAAAAAGUUAGCUCAUCUGGGUUAUCAGCUACACAGUUGUAAAUUGCUUUCACUCUUUUGGGUUUAGUUUUUGAUAUUUGGGAUUUCCUUGGCAUUGGUGCUGGUGGCUGGAUCUGUGCCAAAGUAUUUGCUGUAGAACCAGUCUGUGUUACUGGAAUUUCACAUACAGAAGAAGAUUCUCCUGCUGCUAAGAUAAGUAAAACAAUUACAUUUUAGGCAUGCUUUAAAAAAUAAUAAUAAUAAUUAAAAAAAGGAAAAACAAUAAUG
rnacentral:lncRNA from 1 species